UGUGUCGUAGCUAACGCAUUAAGCGCCCCGCCUGGGGAGUACGGCCGCAAGGCUAAAACUCAAAGGAAUUGACGGGGGCCCGCACAAGCGGCGGAGCAUGCGGAUUAAUUCGAUGCAACGCGAAGAACCUUACCAAGGCUUGACAUACACCGGAAACGGCCAGAGAUGGUUGCCCCCUUGUGGUCGGUGUACAGGUGGUGCAUGGUUGUCGUCAGCUCGUGUCGUGAGAUGUUGGGUUAAGUCCCGCAACGAGCGCAACCCUCGUUCUAUGUUGCCAGCGCGUUAUGGCGGGGACUCAUAGGAGACUGCCGGGGUCAACUCGGAGGAAGGUGGGGAUGACGUCAAAUCAUCAUGCCCCUUAUGUCUUGGGCUUCACGCAUGCUACAAUGGCCGGUACAAAGGGCUGCGAUACCGUAAGGUGGAGCGAAUCCCAAAAAGCCGGUCUCAGUUCGGAUUGAGGUCUGCAACUCGACCUCAUGAAGUCGGAGUCGCUAGUAAUCGCAGAUCAGCAACGCUGCGGUGAAUACGUUCCCGGGCCUUGUACACACCGCCCGUCAAGUCAUGAAAGUC
rnacentral:rRNA from 2 species